rnacentral:rRNA from 1 species
UACGUAGGGUGCGAGCGUUAAUCGGAAUUACUGGGCGUAAAGCGUGCGCAGGCGGCUUUCUAAGCCAGAUGUGAAAGCCCCGGGCUUAACCUGGGAAUGGCAUUUGGGACUGCAAGGCUUGAGUGCGGCAGAGGAGACUGGAAUUCCUGGUGUAGCAGUGAAAUGCGUAGAUAUCAGGAGGAAUACCGAUGGCGAAGGCAGGGCUCUGGGCUGACACUGACGCUGAUGCACGAAAGCGUGGGGAGCAAACAGG